UAGGUGGCGAGCGUUAUCCGGAUUUAUUGGGCGUAAAGCGUGCGCAGGCGGUUUGAUAAGUCUAAAAUUAAAGUCCGAAGCUUAACUUCGGUUCGUUUUAGAAACUGUCAGGCUAGAGUGCGGUAGAGGCAAAUGGAAUUUCUAGUGUAGCGGUAAAAUGCGUAGAUAUUAGAAGGAACACCAGUGGCGAAGGCGAUUUGCUGGGCCGCAACUGACGCUCAUGCACGAAAGCGUGGGGAGCAAA
rnacentral:rRNA from 1 species